rnacentral:rRNA from 1 species
CAGCAGCCGCGGGAACACGGAGGAUCCAAGCGUUAUCCGGAAUCAUUGGGUUUAAAGGGUCCGUAGGCGGUCUUGUAAGUCAGUGGUGAAAGCCCAUCGCUCAACGGUGGAACGGCCAUUGAUACUGCAGGACUUGAAUUAUUGGGAAGUAACUAGAAUAUGUAGUGUAGCGGUGAAAUGCUUAGAGAUUACAUGGAAUACCAAUUGCGAAGGCAGGUUACUACCAAUUGAUUGACGCUGAUGGACGAAAGCGUGGGUAGCGAACAGGAUUAGAUACCCCAGUAGUCCCUGUCUCUUAUAC